GAUGAACGCUGGCGGCGUGCCUAAUACAUGCAAGUCGAGCGAACAGACGAGGAGCUUGCUCCUCUGACGUUAGCGGCGGACGGGUGAGUAACACGUGGAUAACCUACCUAUAAGACUGGGAUAACUUCGGGAAACCGGAGCUAAUACCGGAUAACAUGUUGAACCGCAUGGUUCAACAGUGAAAGACGGUCUUGCUGUCACUUAUAGAUGGAUCCGCGCCGCAUUAGCUAGUUGGUAAGGUAACGGCUUACCAAGGCAACGAUGCGUAGCCGACCUGAGAGGGUGAUCGGCCACACUGGAACUGAGACACGGUCCAGACUCCUACGGGAGGCAGCAGUAGGGAAUCUUCCGUAAUGGGCGAAAGCCUGACGGAGCAACGCCGCGUGAGUGAAGAAGGUCUUCGGAUCGUAAAACUCUGUUAUUAGGGAAGAACAAAUGUGUAAGUAACUAUGCACGUCUUGACGGUACCUAAUCAGAAAGCCACGGCUAACUACGUG
rnacentral:rRNA from 1 species